GGAUUUUCAGUGUUUUUCUUAGUGUAGUAGAUUUUACAGUGGAUUCAAACUGGAUUUACAGCGGUAUUUAUAGUGUAAAUCUUAAUGUAAUUUUAGUUGAUUUUAUAGUGUAAUUUUAGUGGUUUUUGUCAUUUCCUUUUUAAUUGUGUGUGGUUAGUUUUAGAUUAGAGAUGGGAAAUUUUUGCCUUGUAAUGUUGGGUUCUUUUUCUCCUUUCUCGCUGCUUUGCCUGGCUGGGUUGUAAAGGAGGCUAGGGGAGCUUGGCUUUGAUGUAAUUUUCACGGACCUUUUUUUAGGUGAACUUGGUUCAAUCCGUACUGCUGUAACAUGGUUUGUACUUUGUCUUCCUUUUGGUUAAGCUAUUCUUGUAGCAAAGAGAUUGACAAUUUUGGUGUAUUUACACUGUAAUCUUUAUUGGGUUACAGCGUAAUUCUUAGUAGAGUUACACUAUAAUUCUUUGUGGGUUUUACACUGUAAUCUUAGUGUUUUUAGCCUGAUUGUGUUACUUAUUUUUUCUGAUAAUUUCUAUUUUCAGUGUUUAUGUUAAUGCUAAUCAAUAUUCAGUGUAAACAAGUAUCAGUUCAUAGCAGUUUACACUUCUAAAGUUACUUAUAUUCGGUCAUUCAACAGGAAGUGUCUAAACUAGUAGAUCAAAGUUUCUUAAUAGUGUUUUAGUUUUUUAGUUUCCAAAGUUUGUGGAAAUAGUCACAUAUUCUCUCAACUGCAGUAAUCCUCAACCUUGUAUAUUUUCAACUAGUUUUACCUAAAUGGAAUUGCUAGCCUAGUAGUGUGUUUUUGUUCCUUGUAUUUGUCCCCUAAAUGGAAUUGCUAACCUAGUGAUCUUUGAGUGUGUUUUUGUCCCCUGUAGUGUGUUCCUAUUCUGCAAAUCUAGAAACCAAUGAUUUGGGCAUCUAGUUUUCAGUAUAUAGUGUUCUUGUGAUCAUAGACUAGUAGUACAUGUGACCAUGUUCUAGUUGUUCCUAGGAUUUGUGCUGGUUCUUUCUUAGUGUGCUUAUGUUCUUUUUCCAUCUGUUCUUUCUUCCAGAUUUCUUCAGGCAGGAGGGAGACGAUAGGAGGUGAUGAACGCAUAGGAGGGGGCGAGAAGGGGUGUUUACCUAUGUUUUUCCUGCUUCUCUAGCCAUAUUGUUGAAGUUUGUGUACCAGAUCUUGGAGGAAUCACCCUCUCUGGUGGUGCUUCUCCAUGUUCGUCCACGUAUAUGUGGUUGUUCCAGUGCAUUUUGUCAAUGCAGUUAACUUUUUUGAGUGGAUUUUACACUGUAAAACUGUUGAAAUUACAGUGUAUUUAUUUGUGGUUUACAGUGUUUUUUAUAAGUGGAUUUGCACUGUAAUUUCUAUCUGGAUUUACACUGUAAUUCAUAUCUGGGUUUACAGUGUAAUUCCGGCUGGUUUAUAGUGUAGUUCUUUGUCGAUGUUGCAACUUCGAUAUGAUUUACACUGUAAAUCUUAGUUCAAAUUUGGUGUACUUUUAGGUUAUUUUACACUGUAAUUCUCAUUGGAUUACAGUGCAUUUUUAAGUGGACUUUCCUUUGUAAUUCAUUAGUGUAUUUUGUUAGUGUAAUUUUAGUACUUUCUCAGUGGAAUUUUUACUAUUAUUUAAGCAGUAUUUACAGUGUAAUUCCUUUUGUGUAUUUCAAGCGGAAUUUACACUGUAAAUCAUUGGUGGAUUUACAGUGUAAUUUUAGUGGAUUAUACACUUUUUUUGCAAGUUUCAUUACUAGUGGAAUUUCAGUGUUUUUAGUGGAAUUAC
rnacentral:lncRNA from 1 species